GCAAACUUGGUCAUUUAGAGGAAGUAAAAGUCGUAACAAGGUUUCCGUAGGUGAACCUGCGGAAGGAUCAUUAUUGAAUAAACUUGUUUCCCCGUGAGUUGAGCUGGCACUGCAGGUGCUUGCUUGCGGGGAUUCAUAACCUUCAUCCACCUGUGCACCCUUUGUAGGAGUCGUAGUGAACUUGAAGGGGGAGUGGUUUCUUUCGGGAGACCGCAAGCUCUUUUGUUUCUGCUGCUUCUAUGUUUUUACAAACCCAAAAUUGAAUGUCUAGAAUGGUUUUACUUGUUGAUUUUACAUCGACAAUAAAAAGUUAAUACAACUUUCAGCAACGGAUCUCUUGGCUCUCCCAUCGAUGAAGAACGCAGC
rnacentral:misc_RNA from 1 species